GCCAUCCGCCGGUCGUGGCCGUGCGUGGCGGCCAUCCCGCGCCCCGCAGCACCUACAAGACCUCCCCUGAUCCCGUGGUCGAACCCUAACCCCACUUUCCCCCUCCACCCACGCCGCUUCUUCUUCCCCGCGACGUCCCGAGACCUCCGUCGCCAUGGUCGCCAUCGCCUGCGUGGCCAGCGACCUCCCCGCCGCCUAGGACUACCCCUGGAAGCACCGCCGUUGCCCGCUUCUUCCUCUCCGACCCCGAACCCGAGCAGAAGAUCGCCACCGCGCCGGGAUCGACCGAGUCCCCCUCUGCUGUCGUCGGCGUUCGUCUCCAAAUCCAUCGACCCCUGCUGCUCCCGUUCACUCAACGAGCCUCCAUGAGCUCCUAGACCCCGAGACUGUCGGCGACCCAGUUCGACUACGGUGUUGAUGACCCCUCUCUCUUGCCAGAGCAACUAGGCAAGCCCCUCUCCCUUGAUCACCAGAUAUCGCCUACUUUUCUCUAUACUAUUUGCAUUAGAGUAGUGUAGCAUGUUACUGCUUUCUGUUAAUCCUAUUCUGAUACAUAGCUUAUUAUUACUGCAUUCACGAUUAAUUUAAAAUAAGACGCUUAA